GCUGGGCAUGGUGGCUCACGCCUGUAAUCCCAGCUACUUGGGAGGCUGAGGCAGGAGGAUAGCUUGAGCCCAGGAGGUCGAGGCUGCAGUGAGCCAUUAUCACGCAUUGCACUCCCGUCUGGCCAACAGAGUGAGACCCUGUCUCAA
ensembl:misc_RNA Metazoa_SRP Metazoan signal recognition particle RNA